rnacentral:misc_RNA from 1 species
GAUGAAGAACGCAGCGAAAUGCGAUAAGUAGUGUGAAUUGCAGAAUUCAGUGAAUCAUCGAAUCUUUGAACGCACAUUGCGCCCCUUGGUAUUCCAUGGGGCAUGCCUGUUCGAGCGUCAUUUGUACCUUCAAGCUUUGCUUGGUGUUGGGUGUUUGUCUCGCCUUUGCGUGUAGACUCACCUUAAAAUAAUUGGCAGCCGGCGUAUUGAUUUCGGAGCGCAGUACAUCUCGCGCUUUGCACUCAUAACGACAGCGUCCAAAAGUACAUUUUACACUCUUGACCUCGGAUCAGGUAGGGAUACCCGCUGAACUUAAGCAUAUCAAUAAGCGGAGGA